rnacentral:rRNA from 1 species
GGGGACGGAGAAGGCUAUGCCAGCCGGCGAUUGGUAGUGCCGGUUCAAAGACGUAGGAAGAAUCGCCAGGCAAAUCCGGCGAUUCAAUUCCGAGAUCUGAUGACGAGGUCGUUUGACCGAAGUGACAAAUGCCCGGCUCCCAAGAAAAGCCUCUAAGCUUCAGGCCUGCGUUAACCGUACCCGAAACCGACACAGGUGGGCGAGGAGAGUAUCCUCAGGCGCUGGAGAGAACUCGGGUGAAGGAACUCGGCAAACUAGCACCGUAACUUCGGGAGAAGGUGCGCCCCUAGUAGGUAAAACCCCUCGCGGGUCGAGCUGAACCGGGCCGCAGUGACCAGGUGGCUGCGACUGUUUACUAAAAACACAGCACUCUGCCAACACGAAAGUGGACGUAUAGGGUGUGACGCCUGCCCGGUGCCGGAAGGUUAAGUGAUGGGGUUAGCGCAAGCAAAGCUCUGGAUCGAAGCCCCGGUAAACGGCGGCCGUAACGAUAACGGUCCUAAGGUAGCGAAAUUCCUUGUCGGGUAAGUUCCGACCUGCACGAAUGGCGUAACGAUAGCCACACUGUCUCCACCCGAGACUCCGUGAAAUUGAACUCGCUGUGAAGAUGCAGCGUACCCGCGGCAAGACGGAAAGACCCCGUGAACCUUCACUACAGCUUUGCACUGGAUUUUGCGUCUUCUUGUGUAGGAUAGGUGGGAGGCAAUGAACCCGGAACGCCAGUUCCGGCGGAGCCAACCUUGAAAUACCACCCUGGACGACGCGGGAUUCUAACCUCGCACCCGAAACCGGUGCAGGGACCGUGCAUGGUGGGUAGUUUGACUGGGGCGGUCUCCUCCCAAAGCGUAACGGAGGAGCGCGAAGGUACCCUCAGCGCGGUCGGAAAUCGCGCGAUGCGUGCAAAGGCCAAAGGGUGCUUGACUGCGAGACGGACAGGUCGAGCAGGGGCGAAAGCCGGUCUUAGUGAUCCGGUGGUUCCGAAUGGAAGGGCCAUCGCUCAACGGAUAAAAGGUACUCCGGGGAUAACAGGCUGAUACUGCCCAAGAGUCCCUAUCGACGGCAGUGUUUGGCACCUCGAUGUCGGCUCAUCACAUCCUGGGGCUGUAGUCGGUCCCAAGGGUAUGGCUGUUCGCCAUUUAAAGUGGUACGCGAGCUGGGUUUAGAACGUCGUGAGACAGUUCGGUCCCUAUCUGCCGUGGGCGUUGGAGAAUUGCGGGGCGCUGUUCCUAGCACGAGAGGACCGGAAUGGACGGACCGCUGGUGUGCCGGUUGUCAUGCCAAUGGCAGCGCCGGGUAGCUAUGUCCGGACGGGAUAACCGCUGAAAGCAUCUAAGCGGGAAGCCUUCCCCAAGAUCAAUUCUCCCGAGUCCUGGAGUCUCCCGAAGGUCCGUUGCAGACCACAACGUGGAUAGGCGUGGCGGUGGACGCGCAGUAAUGCGUGCAGCCGACCCGUACUAAUCGACCGUGCGGCUUGACCCG